GAUGAACGCUGGCGGCGUGCCUAAUACAUGCAAGUCGAGCGAACAGAUGAGGAGCUUGCUCCUCUGACGUUAGCGGCGGACGGGUGAGUAACACGUGGAUAACCUACCUAUAAGACUGGGAUAACUUCGGGAAACCGGAGCUAAUACCGGAUAAUAUAUUGAACCGCAUGGUUCAAUAGUGAAAGACGGUUUUGCUGUCACUUAUAGAUGGAUCCGCGCCGCAUUAGCUAGUUGGUAAGGUAACGGCUUACCAAGGCAACGAUGCGUAGCCGACCUGAGAGGGUGAUCGGGCACACUGGAACUGAGACACGGUCCAGACUCCUACGGGAGGCAGCAGUAGGGAAUCUUCCGCAAUGGGCGAAAGCCUGACGGAGCAACGCCGCGUGAGUGAUGAAGGUCUUCGGAUCGUAAAACUCUGUUAUUAGGGAAGAACAAAUGUGUAAGUAACUAUGCACGGCUUGACGGUACCUAAUCAGAAAGCCACGGCUAACUACGUG
rnacentral:rRNA from 1 species